CAAAAGCUUGGUCCUGACUUUACCGUCAGCUUUAACCUGAUUUACACAUGCAAGUAUCCGCACCCCUGUGAGAAUGCCCUCAUUCCCCCGCCCGGGGACGAGGAGCUGGCAUCAGGCACGCUCAAGCUGCCCAAGACGCCUUGCUUUGCCACACCCCCAAGGGAACUCAGCAGUGAUAAACAUUAGGCAUAUAAGUGCAAACUUGACCUAGUCAAGGUUAAUAGAGCCGGUUAAACUCGUGCCAGCCACCGCGGUUAUACGAGAGGCUCUAGUUGACGAACUACGGCGUAAAGCGUGGUCACGGAGAGCAAUCAAUACUAAAGCCAAACGCCUCCCAGGCUGUCAUACGCAUCCGGAGGUACGAAGCCCAAUAACGAAAGUAGCUUUAUUACCGCCAACCUGACCCCACGACAACUGAGAAACAAACUGGGAUUAGAUACCCCACUAUGCUCAGUCGUAAACUUAGGUAUUCCUUUACCACCAAUACCCGCCUGGGAACUACGAGCGCUAGCUUAAAACCCAAAGGACUUGGCGGCACCUCAGACCCACCUAGAGGAGCCUGUUCUAGAACCGAUAAUCCCCGUUAAACCUCACCACUUCUUGUUAUCACAGCCUAUAUACCGCCGUCGUCAGCUUACCCUGUGAAGGAUGCCUAGUAAGCAAAAUGAGCAAGACUCAAAACGUCAGGUCGAGGUGUAGCGCAUGAAGUGGGAAGAAAUGGGCUACAUUUUCUACUCCAGAAUACUACGAAAGGCACCAUGAAAUAAGUACCCGAAGGUGGAUUUAGCAGUAAAAAGAAAAUAGAGAGUUCUUUUGAAUCCGGCUCUGAGGCGCGCACACACCGCCCGUCACUCUCCCCAACUCUAGGCCCAGAAAAUUGUAAACAGCCAGCAACCCUAGCCCCCAAGGGGAGGCAAGUCGUAACAUGGUAAGUGUACCGGAAGGUGCACUUGGAGUAAC